CUACUGAGGAUCUAAUUGUCUGGCUGUCUUGGAAAAUGAUAGGAUCUAAUUGAUGCAAAUCUUUUCUGUUAUGAUCAUAUUGGAAAAUGAUCCUGCAAAUAUUUGGAAGGAUCCAAUAUGCAAAUCUUUUCUGUUAUGAUCAUAUCCAAGGGAGCUGCUCGCAUGUCUGGCUGUUUGCUUGUUUCUUUUUGCCAAUUGUCUUUAUUUGAUGGAAGAAGUGUUCAUGUAUGUAGGGUAGUUGUGCUACACCAAAAAUCGGGCCUUUCAAACUCUCAAGUGGGCUCCACCUGUUAGAUGGGCUACAAGUUGUCACUGCUCCUCAUCAAAUGACUUCCACCAAAGGCUGUGGCGAUAUUGAAGAAUGCAGCUCAAGUGACAAGAUAUUCUAACAAAAACCAGCAGCAAUCUUCUAAGAUACAGCAAGACAUGUAAAAGCCUAAGAAGCAACUGCAACCUUAUUAUUUCUAAGAUACAGGCUGAUUUAGUUGUGUCAUUUUCUCAAAAUGCUUUAAGCGGCUAAAGCUUCUUUUCCUGUAUUCUCUGAUGCUUGUUUUCCAAGAGCUUGCAAGUCUAAGGAAACAAAGGGCUGAGAUGUUAUGCAUCAAAUCCUUGUUAUUUUUAGCAAUGCCCUCAGUAAAAAACGAUUUGGAGUUUCAGUCCUCUGUUUUAAGUGAAAUGAGAGUUUUGUUUCGCAGGGAAAACACUAUGUGUCCAUCAAGGCGUCGUUUAGCAACGUUGCGAAUGUGCUCCUCGACUGGAAUGCUGAUGGCAACGAAGAUUACUGCUCCUGGCACAGGGUUGCUUGCGACAAUCUCUCCUUCAUCGUCGUCUCUCUGAAUCUCUCGAAUUUGAAUCUCGGCGGGGAGAUUUCGCCAGCCAUUGGGGAUUUACAGAGCUUACAGGCACUAGAUUUGAAGGGGAAUCAGCUGACCAGGUCAAUCCCUGAUGAGAUUAGCAACUGCAUCUUGCUGAAAUCUCUCAUUUACUUGCAUUCUGAAGUUAUGGGAUUGAGAAUGUAAUGGAGGAUUUAACUGAAAUCUGUUUUGGUUUGUUUUCUGUAGGGAUUUAUCCGGUAACUUGCUAUAUGGAGAUAUUCCAUUCUU